AGUGAUAUUGGGGGAAUAGGAAGAGGAACAAACAUUGGAAGCUCAAACACAGUGGUACUUAGAGCGGAAAAAUAAGGACGAGACUCAAAGAAUGUAACAUCCGCACUGACGAUCUCUUUCUUGGUAUGGGGAUCAAAACAUCGAUAGCCUUUUUGAUUGGAAGAAUAUCUAAUGAAUACACAUUUGACAGCUUGGGCAGCAAGUUUGUUUUUGUUUGGGCCCAAGAUGUGUGCAAAACAAGUGCAUUCAAAUGCUUUAGGAGGUAUAUGAAAUAAUGGUCGAUCUGGAUAUAGUAUUUGAAUGGGGAUGCGUUCUUGGAUGGCAGACGAGGGCAAUUUGUUGGUGAGAUAACAUGUGGUAAGAAUAGCAUCACCCCAAAAAUAGGAAGGCAUAUGAGUAUGCAACAUGAGGGUACGACCCAAUGUUGUACGUAUCGUACGAUACGACCCCGUAUCGUACAAUACGUAUCGUAUCGUUUGAAGAAAACGAUACGAUACACCCCUCGUAUCGUAAAAAGGGGGUGUAUCGGCCCUGUAUCGCACGUAUCGUACGAUACAAGGCCCGUAUCGUACGAUACGGGGCGAUACACCCCGUAUCGUACGAUACGGCCUAAAAACGCAAAAGGGGGCCGAGACCUACUUAUUCGGCUUCUUUUUCAAAUUUUUCUUCUGUUCUUCAUUUCUAACGCUUGGAUAGUGCCGUGAGGGAGGGCGAUCGUUCAUUUUGACCCUGAAGAACUUGAUUUUCAUCGUCAAAUCGAAGAUUAAGUGGUCGAUUUGUGCGUGGGUGCUUGAUUUUCGUGGGAAGGAAAGGGGUUUUCUUCAUUUCAGACAUUUCUUCUUCGUAAGGUAUGAAAUCUCAUGUUCUUACCAUGUAUUCUUAAUUUUUUUACCGUAUAAUCGUAGAUUUGAAGACUUUGAGUGUUUUUCAUUAAGUUUACCAUAGGAUUUCGUUUUUUUUUUUGAAGAUAUGGAUCCUACAUGGCAAUGGUGCGAAAGGGUGAAGGAGAAUAACCGUUUGAAACUCAAAUGUGGCUUCUGUGGGAAUACACUUUCAGGAGGGAUUAUUAGAAUGAAACACCAUUUGGCAGGGUCCUCCAAAGAUGCGUCUCCUUGUGUUGGAGGACCAAACAAACCUUUGCCUCCAUUUGUGCGUCAACAAUGUUCAGAUAUGCUUCAUGUUUUACGUCAAAAGAGAAUACAAAAAGAAAUUGAAGAUGCAGAUGUAGGCUAUAAUGUGCCUUUGGAAGAUGAAGAAGAAGAGGAUGAAGCUUAUGAAUGUGAUGAUGAAGACGAUAGCAGUCUAAGAACAGAUUUGGAGACCUCAAGAGGUAGAGAUCGUAGAGGAAAAUGGAUUAUGUAUGAAGGAGGUCGAUCUGGCAUAACGGGAAGGAAGAGGAGAGGCACAACAGAUGUUAGGGCCAGGUGUGGUAUGCGACCACCUAGUGGUAGAGUUCCUACUGGUAGGUCUAGUGUUGGCUCUAUUAAGAGUUUUUUCCCUUCAUAUACCAGCCCAGGUGGUCAGCCGCAGAUUCGUGCUGCUAUGACAUCUAAAGAUAUGCUAUAUCAUGCACAAAAGCAGGUAGGGAAAUGGUUUUAUGAUGCCUGUAUUCCAUUCAAUGCAGCUAAUUCUUUUCAAUUCCAAGCCAUGGCAGAUGCAAUUGCUUCUAUAGGCCCUGGAUUCAAAAUGCCAUCAUAUCAUCAGUUGAGAGGCAAAAUUCUUCAGGAUACAGUCAAAGAAGUGUCUGAGCAUUGCGAUGAGUUGAAAUUAUGUUGGAAGGAAACAGGUUGCUCCAUUAUGUCAGAUGGUUGGACUGAUACAAGGUCAAGAACACUUGUAAAUUUUCUUGUGUAUUGCCCUAAAGGUACAAUGUUCUUGAAAUCUCUUGACUUGUCUGAUGUUCCUAAGACUGCUGAGAUUUUAUUCAAUGUUUUUGAUAAUGUUGUACAAGAAGUUGAACCUGCAAACAUUGUACAGUUUAUUACAGAUAAUGCUGCAAAUUAUAGAGCUGCAGGAGAUUUGUUAUUUCAAAAGUAUAGAACAUUUUAUUGGAGUCCAUGUGCCACUCAUUGUGUUAAUCUAAUGUUUCAAGAUCUUAAUGAGAUGCAUGAUAUGAAAUCAGCCAUUGACCAAUGUCAAGAGGUAACAAAAUUUAUCUAUAAUCAUGCAUAUGUAUUGAGUUUGAUGAGAAAAUUUACAAAAGGAGUUGAAUUAAUACGACCUGCACAAACUAGAUUUGCCACAAAUGUAUUGACUGUGCAGAGUGUGGUGAAACAAAGAACUCCUUUGAGACAGAUGUUUGCUAGUGAAGAAUGGGCUGCAUAUCCACAUGCUCAUAAAAGAAAUGCUUCUUUAGUUGUGGAUAUUAUAUUCAAUAACGUAUUUUGGGAAUCAUGUGUGAAGCUAUUGAAGGUUUGUGUUCCAUUAGUUAAGGUUCUCAGGUUGGCUGACAGCGAGGACAGACCUUCUAUAGGGUACUUAUAUGAGGCUAUGGACAAAGCAAAAGAGGCAAUUUGAGACAACUUAAAGGAAAAGAAAAAGUUAUAUAUGCCCAUAUGGAAGAUUAUAGAUAAAAGGUGGACUGGACAGCUUCAUCAACCUCUUCAUGCAGCAGCUUAUUAUCUAAAUCCUGCAAUUAGAUUUUCUCCUACAUUUAAGAAGGACAGAGAAGUCAUGCAUGGUUUGUUAGAUUGUAUUAAUGUGUUAGUGGAAGAUUCUACAGAACAAGAUGCUGUGCACAAUGAGUUGGAUCUAUAUGAUAGUUGUUUUUGGAACAUGAGACUACCUGCCGCCGUUCGAGCCGGGACAACGAUGCGUCCAGGUAAAUACAUAGAAAUUUUUAAUUUACUUUGCAUUUGUUACAUUUGAUUCUUUUAAAACUUUCACAUUGAUUUGUUAUAUUUUUGUUUAGAUUUGUGGUGGAAUAGGUAUGGGUUUGAUUGUCCAAACCUAGCACGUUUUGCAGUCAAAGUCCUCAGCCAGACAUGCAGUGCUAGUGGAUGCGAAAGGAACUGGAGUGUGUUCCAACAUAUCCAUAGCAAAAAAAGGAAUAGGCUCGAACAUAAAAGGUUGAAUGACCUUGUCUUUGUUCGAUAUAAUAUGAGGUUGAAACAAAGAGAAUUAGAAAAAUCAUUAGCAAGGAAGCACACAUCUCAGUUCGAUCAUAUCAGCUUGGAAAAUUUUGACGAUCUAGAGCCAUGGAUUGAAGAAGAACCAACUACAAUAUUUGAUGAUGAAGAUCUUGAAUGCUUCAACCUUGAAGUUGAAGCAACAGAAGGCUUUGUUGAUGAAGGAGAGUCUGCUACUGCUGGUGCUGGUGCUGAAUAUGUUGGUGAAGAUCUUCCAAUUCUUGACGAUGAAGAAGAAGAAGAAGAUGAAGAUGAAGAUGAUGAAGAUUAUGAAUGAUGAAUCAUGAAUGAGAGUCAAGUCAAGAGUGCUUUCAUUUUAUAUGUAUCAAAAACUUAAGAGUUAUGAAUCUAUGGUUGUUGAACACUUGAUUGAAUGUUUUAUCAUUUAUGACUUUAUCACUUUAUGGCUUAUGGCCUUAUGCUUUGUUGAAUGAUAUUGUAUUAUUGUUAUGAAUUUUGAUGUUUAUGAAUGAUGAACGCGUAAGUUUAUAGCAAUAAUAAGUCUAUCAUUAUCUCAAACAUGUUUUCUAUGAACAAUUUAUUAUUUUUAAUUUUUUCUGAUUUUUUUUAU